rnacentral:rRNA from 1 species
UACGUAGGGUGCGAGCGUUGUCCGGAAUUAUUGGGCGUAAAGAGCUUGUAGGCGGUUUGUCGCGUCUGCUGUGAAAAUCCGGGGCUCAACCCCGGGCUUGCGGUUGAUACGGGCGGGCUAGAGUUCGGUAGGGGAGACUGGAAUUCCUGGUGUAGCGGUGAAAUGCGCAGAUAUCAGGAGGAACACCGGUGGCGAAGGCGGGUCUCUGGGCCGAUACUGACGCUGAGGAGCGAAAGCGUGGGGAGCGAACAGG